GUGAAUCAUCAAAUUUUUGAACGCAAAUUGCGCUUCCUGGCAUCCCGGGAAGUAUGCCUGUUUGAGGGUCAGUAUUAACAAAAAAUCGGUUUGGUUGCAAAUUGUGACGUUUCCGGAGUUUGGGCUAUCUUAACUUUUUUGGUUAAGGGGCUUAAAAUUGACCUUAUUUGCGCAUUUUUAGACGUACAUAAAUUUUUUUUUAUUCGUCUAUUUUUAUUGCAAAAACUUCAUUAAUGGGGUUCAUUCGU
rnacentral:misc_RNA from 1 species